rnacentral:tRNA from 1 species
GUUUUAAUAGUUUAAACUAAAAUAAUGAAUUUGUAAUUCAUAGAUAAAUUAAUUUUAAAACA